rnacentral:rRNA from 1 species
GGGUUGUGAGGUUAAGCGACUAAGCGUACACGGUGGAUGCCUAGGCAAUCAGAGGCGAUGAAGGACGUGCUAAUCUGCGAAAAGCGUCGGUAAGGUGAUAUGAACCGUUAUAGCCGACGAUGUCCGAAUGGGGAAACCCAGUGCAAUUCGUUGCACUAUCGUUUGAUGAAUCCAUAGUCAAACGAGGCGAACCGGGGGAACUGAAACAUCUCAGUACCCCGAGGAAAAGAAAUCAACCGAGAUUCCCCUAGUAGCGGCGAGCGAACGGGGAGCAGCCCAGAGUCUUAAUCAGCAUCAGCAUCAGGAGAACGGUCUGGAAAGGCCGGCAAUAAAGGGUGAUAGCCCCGUAUCCGAAGGUGUUGGUGUUGUGAACUCGACGAGUAGGGCGGGACACGUGUUAUCCUGUCUGAAUAUGGGGGGACCAUCCUCCAAGGCUAAAUACUCCUGAUUGACCGAUAGUGAACCAGUACCGUGAGGGAAAGGCGAAAAGAACCCCGGCGAGGGGAGUGAAAUAGAACCUGAAACCGUGUACGUACAAGCAGUGGGAGCCUUGAUUUAUCAGGGUGACUGCGUACCUUUUGUAUAAUGGGUCAGCGACUUAUAUUCUGUAGCAAGGUUAACCGAAUAGGGGAGCCGUAGGGAAACCGAGUCUUAACUGGGCGAAUGAGUUGCAGGGUAUAGACCCGAAACCCGGUGAUCUAGCCAUGGGCAGGUUGAAGGUUGGGUAACACUAACUGGAGGACCGAACCGACUAAUGUUGAAAAAUUAGCGGAUGACUUGUGGCUGGGGGUGAAAGGCCAAUCAAACCGGGAGAUAGCUGGUUCUCCCCGAAAGCUAUUUAGGUAGCGCCUCGUGAACUCAUCUUCGGGGGUAGAGCACUGUUUCGGCUAGGGGGUCAUCCCGACUUACCAACCCGAUGCAAACUACGAAUACCGAAGAAUGUUAUCACGGGAGACACACGGCGGGUGCUAACGUUCGUCGUGAAGAGGGAAACAACCCAGACCGCCAGCUAAGGUCCCAAAGUCAUGGUUAAGUGGGAAACGAAGUGGGAAGGCUCAGACAGCCAGGAUGUUGGCUUAGAAGCAGCCAUCAUUUAAAGAAAGCGUAAUAGCUCACUGGUCGAGUCGGCCUGCGCGGAAGAUGUAACGGGGCUAAACCAUGCACCGAAGCUGCGGCAGCGACAUGUAAAUGUUGUUGGGUAGGGGAGCGUUCUGUAAGCCUGUGAAGGUGUGCUGCGAGGCAUGCUGGAGGUAUCAGAAGUGCGAAUGCUGACAUAAGUAACGAUAAUGCGGGUGAAAAACCCGCACGCCGGAAGACCAAGGGUUCCUGUCCAACGUUAAUCGGGGCAGGGUGAGUCGACCCCUAAGGCGAGGCAGAAAUGCGUAGUCGAUGGGAAACAGGUUAAUAUUCCUGUACUGGUGAUAAUUGCGAUGGGGGGACGGAGAAGGCUAGGCUGGCCGGGCGACGGUUGUCCCGGUUUAAGGAUGUAGGUGGGUGAAUUAGGCAAAUCCGGUUCGCUAUACACUGAGGUCUGAUGACGAGUCACUACGGUGGCGAAGUAGCUCAUGCCCCGCUUCCAGGAAAAGCCUCUAAGCUCUAGAUUAUCAUUAAUCGUACCCCAAACCGACACAGGUGGUCAGGUAGAGAAUACUCAGGCGCUUGAGAGAACUCGGGUGAAGGAACUAGGCAAAAUGGUGCCGUAACUUCGGGAGAAGGCACGCUGGCAUUAGGUGAAGUGGUUUACCCAUGGAGCUGAAGCCAGUCGCAGAUACCAGCUGGCUGCAACUGUUUAUUAAAAACACAGCACUGUGCAAACACGAAAGUGGACGUAUACGGUGUGACGCCUGCCCGGUGCUGGAAGGUUAAUUGAUGGGGUUAUCCGUAAGGAGAAGCUCUUGAUCGAAGCCCCAGUAAACGGCGGCCGUAACUAUAACGGUCCUAAGGUAGCGAAAUUCCUUGUCGGGUAAGUUCCGACCUGCACGAAUGGCGUAAUGAUGGCCAGGCUGUCUCCACCCGAGACUCAGUGAAAUUGAACUCGCUGUGAAGAUGCAGUGUACCCGCGGCAAGACGGAAAGACCCCGUGAACCUUUACUAUAGCUUGACACUGAACAUUGAGCCUUGAUGUGUAGGAUAGGUGGGAGGCUUUGAAGUGUGGACGCCAGUCUGCAUGGAGCCAACCUUGAAAUACCACCCUUUAAUGUUUGAUGUUCUAACGUUGCCCCAUAAUCUGGGGUGCGGACAGUGUCUGGUGGGUAGUUUGACUGGGGCGGUCUCCUCCCAAAGCGUAACGGAGGAGCACGAAGGUUGGCUAAGCAUGGUCGGACAUCAUGCGGUUAGUGCAAAGGCAUAAGCCAGCUUGACUGCGAGAGUGACGGCUCGAGCAGGUACGAAAGUAGGUCUUAGUGAUCCGGUGGUUCUGAAUGGAAGGGCCAUCGCUCAACGGAUAAAAGGUACUCCGGGGAUAACAGGCUGAUACCGCCCAAGAGUUCAUAUCGACGGCGGUGUUUGGCACCUCGAUGUCGGCUCAUCACAUCCUGGGGCUGAAGUAGGUCCCAAGGGUAUGGCUGUUCGCCAUUUAAAGUGGUACGCGAGCUGGGUUUAGAACGUCGUGAGACAGUUCGGUCCCUAUCUGCCGUGGGCGUUGGAAGAUUGAAAGGGGCUGCUCCUAGUACGAGAGGACCGGAGUGGACGCACCGCUGGUGUUCGGGUUGUCAUGCCAAUGGCACUGCCCGGUAGCUAAGUGCGGAAGAGAUAACCGCUGAAAGCAUCUAAGCGGGAAACUUGCCUUGAGAUGAGUCUUCCCUGACUCUUUAAGGGUCCUAAAGGAACGUUUAAGACGAAGACGUUGAUAGGCUGGGUGUGUAAGCGUAGCGAUACGUUGAGCUAACCAGUACUAAUGAACCGUGAGGCUUAACCUGACAACACCGAAGGUGUUUUAG